AGAAAUUUAAGUUACUCAAACUAAAAGCCUUCAAAGCUCUCAACAGGGGCACUACCCCUAAUUUCUG
rnacentral:tRNA from 1 species